rnacentral:rRNA from 1 species
AUACGUAGGGGGCGAGCGUUGUCCGGAAUGACUGGGCGUAAAGGGCGUGUAGGCGGCGGUGUAAGUCUGGAGUGAAAGUCCCGCAUUCAAUGUGGGAAUUGCUUUGGAUACUGCAGUGCUAGAGUGCGGAAGAGGUAAGUGGAAUUCCCAGUGUAGCGGUGAAAUGCGUAGAGAUUGGGAGGAACACCAGUGGCGAAGGCGACUUACUGGGCCGUAACUGACGCUGAGGCGCGAAAGCGUGGGGAGCGAACAGGAUUAGAUACCCUGGUAGUCCACGCUGUAAACGAUGAAUACUAGGUGUAGGGGGUAUCAACUCCCUCUGUGCCGCAGCAAACGCAAUAAGUAUUCCGCCUGGGGAGUACGGCCGCAAGGUUGAAACUUAAAGGAAUUGGCGGGG